UGAGCCCUAUGGGGGAAAGAUUUAUCGCCAUGAGAUGUGCCCGCGNUUAGAUUAGCUAGUUGGUAAGGUAAUGGCUUACCAAGGCGACGAUCUAUAGCUGGUCUGAGAGGAUGAUCAGCCACACUGGGACUGAGACACGGCCCAGACUCCUACGGGAGGCAGCAGUGGGGAAUAUUGGACAAUGGGGGCAACCCUGAUCCAGCCAUGCCGCGUGUGUGAUGACGGCCUUAGGGUUGUAAAGCACUUUCAGCAGUGAAGAUAAUGACAUUAACUGCAGAAGAAGCCCCGGCUAACUUNNUGCCAGCAGCCGCGGUAAUACGAAGGGGGCUAGCGUUGUUCGGAAUCACUGGGCGUAAAGAGUACGUAGGCGGACUGAUAAGUUAGGGGUGAAAUCCCAAGGCUCAACCUUGGAACUGCCUUUGAUACUGUCAGUCUUGAGAUCGAGAGAGGUGAGUGGAACUCCGAGUGUAGAGGUGAAAUUCGUAGAUAUUCGGAAGAACACCAGUGGCGAAGGCGGCUCACUGGCUCGAUACUGACGCUGAGGUACGAAAGCGUGNGGAGCAAACAGGAUUAGAUACCCUGGUAGUCCACGCCGUANACGAUGAAUGCUAGUUGUCANGUAGCUUGCUA
rnacentral:rRNA from 1 species